GGAGCGGAGGGGGAGGAGGACGAGGAGGGGGGAGAAUGAGUGGGGAGGGGAGGGAAGGGGGAGCGGGGCCCGCGGGGCGCAGGUGCACCUGCCGCUCGGGGCUCUGGGCCGGGACCUCUCUGCCGCCGCCCCCGCCUCCGCCGGCCCCGCAGCCCCGCCCCGGCCUCCAGGCCGGCCGCCCGCCCACCCGGGAAGCCCCUCGGCUGGCGUCCGCGGGAGGGGGCGUCGGAGCAGCUGCGGCGGGGCCGCGGGGAGGACCGCGCUCGCCCCGCCCCCAGGAGGUCUGCGCCGGCCGCCGGAUACGCCCCGCGUUCUCGGCUACACAGGGCAGCUUCUGUGUCUGUCCUGGUCAGCGCGGUAGCCUCCAGUCAACGAAGGAGUGAAUGAGGAAUGAAUGAAUGAGAGAAGGGAGCUGGGCAAAGACGAAGAGGAAGGCAUCAAGACUGAGAUGGGUUAAAGUCACACGUUCCGCCUCUAGCUCUGGGCUGGGGGGGCCUUCCCGCCCUGUUGAAAGUAAUACUUACAGGGAUACUGCUGGGUCGUAUGGCCAGGACGUGUUAUUUGUGCUAUCAGACAGGAGUGGUGAGAGCAGACGUCUUUAUCACUGGUCUGAGAAAGGAAGCAUUCAGGCUUGCACCACUAGUGCACCUGUCUUACACAAGGUAACCAAGUGGGGGUCUGUUCCUGGACUCGACUGUAUUUCAUCGUCUAUCUUUGUGCCAAUGUCACACUAUCUUACCUGCUAGAGAAGCCUUAUCCUAACUCUAGGAAUGUGGCAGCCUAAGACUCACAGGUCUUUCCACUUGUACUGGCCGGAUGGCACAGAGAUGACUCUUCCGAUACUGCUGGGAGGGGAAGAUCUGGCUGCCGGGAUUCAGUGAGAGGAGGAUAUUGGUCUUUGUAUCCAUGAAAAGAACAGAGUCACAAGACUCAUGGUCUGGCUCAACCCCUAACUUGCUGUGUGAAUUGG